CAAUAGCGUAUAUUAAAGUUGCUGCAGUUAAAAAGCUCGUAGUUGGAUCUCGGGCUCAGGCUUUCGGUCCGCCUCGCGGCGGUCACUGCUCGUCCUGACCUCCACGCCGGUGUCACCGUCCCUUGGUGCUCUUGACUGAGUGUCUCGGGCGGCCGGUACGUUUACUUUGAAGAAAUUAGAGUGCUUAAAGCAGGCCCUAGCCGCCUGAAUAAUGGUGCAUGGAAUAAUGGAAGAGGACCUCGGUUCUAUUUUGUUGGCUCUCGGAGCUCGAGGUAAUGAUUAACAGGGACUGACGGGGGCAUUCGUAUUGCGGCGCUAGAGGUGAAAUUCUUGGACCGUCGCAAGACGAACUACAGCGAAAGCAUUUGCCAAGCAUGUUUUCAUUAA
rnacentral:rRNA from 1 species